rnacentral:rRNA from 1 species
GACGAACGCUGGCGGCGUGCUUAACACAUGCAAGUCGAACGGAGUGGCGAACGGGUGAGUAACACGUGGGUGACCUGCCCUGCACUUCGGGAUAAGCCUGGGAAACUGGGUCUAAUACCGGAUAGUGUGGGAUGGGCCCGGGGCCUAUCAGCUGGUGGGUGGGGUAAUGGCGUACCAAGGCGGCGACGGGUGGCCGGCCGGGGAGGGGGGACGGCCACAUUGGGCCUGAGACACGGGCCGGACUCCUACGGGAGGCAGCGGUGGGGAUUCUUGCACAAUGGGCGGAGGGCUGAUGCAGCGACGCCGCGUGGGGGAUGACUGCCUUCGGGUUGUAAACUCCUUUCACCAUCGACGCGGUAGAUGGAGAAGAAGCACCGGCUAACUACGUGCCAGCAGCCGCGGUAAUAC